rnacentral:RNase_P_RNA from 3 species
GCGCGGUAUCGGAUAGUUGCUCUGGCGUAAGCUGGGGAGGAAAGUCCGAACAUUCAUUGUGAGAUGUCGCGCAUGCGCAAUUUCACAAAAGGGUAAUGGGUAAUUCCCAUCGGGAGUAAUCUUAGAGGUGCGAGCAGAAACGACCCGGUUAAGUCCGGCUGAAACGGCAAAAUCCUUACCUGAAUGCAAGGCCGUGCCCCGAUUCGCUUUUGCGAAUCGCGGGAGUGCCGCUUGACCCCGACGGUAACGUCGGGGCUAGACAAAUAACUAUCGUUAGUCGCCUACGCUAAAGCUAUGGCGUACUGAUACAGAAUUCGGCUUAUAGAUACCCACAAAA